rnacentral:lncRNA from 1 species
CCAGGCUGCUUCUCUUGCCCUGAAAUUAAACAUUGUUGAGAUCCAGAGUCUCCACCUUAUCAAAAAAAAAAAAAAAAAAAGGCCAUCUCCUGGUCACCACACUUGGUGACUGGGCAAGCUAUUGGUUCAGCCCUCUUUCUUUAGAGGCCGUCGCUUCUAGAAGAGGAGAAGGCGAAUAGCAGAGUCUCUCGAUUCUAGGGAAGAAACUAGGGUACCAUCUGCUCAAUCUUGGAUUUCCUAUUUUUUGUAAUUUUCUAAAUGUUUUGCAUUCCCAACAGAGUUCCAAGAUGGUCAGCAGUUAGUACUAAGAAUUUUCAUUAUGAUUUUUAAAAAAUUGAGACAAAGGAAGGGAAGAAGGUCUGCAGCUGUCAGGAGAACUGGCCGUGUAGACCAAGACCCAAAUAGCAUCCGCAGCUGCUGUGUGAAGAAAACCGUGUCAGGGACUCUGGGUCCAGCCACCGAGGGGACCCUGACACGUGAAUCCUGACCCCACUCAAGAACCAAAGUUCUUGUCCUUUCAGAACCCUUGGUUUAGAUAAAAAGGUGGAAGGGAAGCCAACUCUAGUGUUUUUAGUUUGCUUUUACUGCUUUUCGGUCUUUGUUUUGUUUGCUUUUUGUUUAAAUAUACAUGUCUCCUAUGCGUGUAUCAUCGGUAUCCACAGAACUGACUGCCUAAUCUUUUGAUCAUUAAUUUCUGCCUUUGGAAAAGAAGAGAAUCAAGAUAAACCACUGAAAUAAGAGGAUAAAUGUUGCUAAAGAGGAAUCGUGAGGCAGGGACUGUAAUGAUCACAUUACGGUCCCUGAUUUGCAUCACUUUUUUAAACUAGACUUUUUGCUUUGAAAUUAACUUUAGAUUUACAAAAAAGUUGCAAAGAUAGUGCAAAACUUUAUCCACUUUCUCCUAAUAACUAUGGUGCAAAUCUGAAAGCUAAGAAAUUAACAGUGAUACACAUCACUAGUUCCCAAACAGCAGGCUUUAUUUGGGUUUUGCCACUGGUUUCCCUCAUGUCCUUUUUUUUAAAAAAAAAAUGUGUUUAUGACUAUUUUUUUUUUUUAAUUUUCCAGGAUCGAAUCCACCACACCAUAUUGCAUUUAGGACACCACGUGCCUUGCAAUUUUUGUUGAUAUUACUAAACAUUAAAUUUCGAUUUCAGACAUUCCCCAUGACCUCAGAAAUAU